UAAAUGUUAAGGUUUUGUUUUAUUUGAGGCAGCACAAACAAUAGCUAAUCAAAAAAGAAAGAUGAUGUGUGAGUAUUUUGUUUAUUAUGUGGUAUAUACUGUCAAAACAUAUAUACAUACAUAAUGUUAAAUUAUAUACAAAUAUUUACAUCUUUGAACAGUUUUCAGGAACACCUUUACUCCUGCUCAACCAUGUAAAUAUCUAUUCACCUAAUGUGAUGGUGGCACAACACAGCUUCAAUUAAUGUUCAUAUUAAACCCCAGAAAAUGCACUCUCAGAGACAUUGCAAUCUCAGUGGCAUGGUGACAGUUUCACACACAGAUGCUUGUGUGUGAAAGUAGUUUACACAGAAUGGGGCAGAAAGUAAUCCAGUGAGCAGCAGCUCUGCAUGUGGAAAUGUUUGCUAAAGACAGAGGUGUGAUGCCUGACUGGGUGACUUAAGGAAUCAGUAGGCGCACAGGUAUUUCUAUUUCUAAGUGGCUGGGGAGUAUAUAUAAAAAUUUACACAGGCCAUAUGGAACUCAUUUAACAGAUGAGCAUGUGCUCUCUGCAAAGUGUCAUUUGCCAUUCUGCAGAGAAGUUUAUUGGGAGCUUUGCCUUGUCAAGUGCAUGGCACUGAAGCUUCUCUUUGGUCACUCUUCCCAGGUCAGUUGCAUAAUGCAGUGAUGGUUGAAGUUUCUCUCAUCUCCACACAUGAUCUCUAGAGCUCAACCAGAGUGACCAAUAGGACCUCUCUUAUCAAGAGAUCCCAUAAUUCAGUUUGUCUGGAUGAUGAAAGAUUCCUGGUUGUUCCAAACUUCAUAAUUUAUUUUAGAAUUACGGAGGCCACUGUCAUCUUGGGAAUGUUUUGUGGUUAUUUUUGCAGCUUCCCCCAAAUCUGUGCCUUAACAUAACCUGGUCUCUAGACUCUACAGGCAGUUCCUUCGAUGUCAUUGCUUGGUUUUUGCUCUGAGAUGCAUUUUCAGGUUUUAGACAGGCAUGUGCCUUUCCAAAUCAUGUCCAGUCAGUUGAAUUUGCCCAAAGUGAAGUCUAAAGAAAUUUAGAAAUGAUCUGGAGAAUCUGUUUUUGAUUUGUCAUCAUGGUGUAUGGUAAGUAGAUUGAUGGGGAAGAAAAAUGUAUGUUAAGUAUUUAGCAACACAGGCUAAAACAUAAGAAAUAUUCACUGAAAUCUUGAAUUAGAAGGUCUCACAAGAAAAUGUGUACUUGCACGCAAUUUGUACCCUACUAAAGUGCACAGGGCCACAAAUUCCCUUGUUCUCUCAGUCUAGCAAACACCUACAUGAUAAAUCUACCUUGACAAAAGUGCAAAAGAGAUUUAUAUUUGUGCCCAUGGACACCAAAGACAUGGUGUCUGCCAGUGUGUUGUGUUAAUAUUUGAAUAAAUCUCCCACCCAUCAGCUAGCUUUCUUCCCUGCUAAGAUUUAUACCAAAAGCCUCAAAGAGACCUUGGCUAAGGCAUAUAAAAGCCAUUUCGUGUGGCUGUCAGCCUAUGCAUGCAUCUGUUUACAAGCGGCACAGUUUGCCCUGUGCGUGUAGAAUGCGAGAACGCCACAGACCAUUGGCGUGCUGCGCAUUUUAUCAUUUACCCAAAAGUGGCAUCGACAGCUUAACUGUCUGUCGGGACUGUUUUUAAAACAGAGCUUUGUGUGGAAAAGCAAUAUAGGAUGUGGUUAGAGGGAGUCGUCUUGGGAAUUUCUUCCUCGCCUGCUUGCCCUUGAUGACAAUCUGGAGAUUUGAACGGCUCACGCUAAAGCGAAACGUCCCUCUCGUUGUAAAUGUGUUUACAUGCAACGGAUCAAAGCUGCCCUAACUUUCCCAUGAGCCACAGUGCCAUAGAGCUCAUGCUACUGACUUUGUGUUACUGUGUAGACAAAUGCAUUUAGAUUGCAGUGACCCAAAUCUUAUCUGAGCCUCGGCUUAUUAACGAACAUCGCUGGCUAUGAGUCAUGGAUAAACAUUUGGCAUGGAGUGACGUACUAGGCAUGAUAAAAAUUAACUUCCCUCCCCUCAUCUUCAGUGAGAGGAAACCUGCAUGGCUUUGACCUGUACAAGAUGCACUCAUGCAGGGAAUCUUCUUAAUUCUCAUUUAUUUUUGCUCUAGAAUUUUUGGGCUAUGAAUAGUGCUCAGUUGCUACCAUUAAAUGCCAUUUAUUGCCUUGCUUCAUGAGCUAUCCAAGUUCCUGCAAUCUGUUUAUGACUUGAUUGUCCCUUCUGUACAAAGUAAGUUAGCACUAAAUCCAAAAAAGAUUUUCACUAGAGUGAUUAAACGGUAUGGAAUGCUACUGUAAAUCCUUCUUGGCAGCUCAGCCAAGUCAGAGUUUUUCCUCUCACCCCACUAAUUAACAAGGUAUUUUCACCGGACCCUCAUUGAUAUGAACAUUAACUAAAGCUCACGACAUUCACAACAUCUGCAUUAUCUUUUCAUGUAUUGCACUGCUGCACAAUGAUUGCUUGUUUGAAUAAACACAAAAAUGAGCUGGUGCUCCAAUUAAAAUGAAUGGUAAGGUUAUUUGUUGCUUGAUGUUUGCUUCUUUUGUUUUGCCCUGGGGCUGUUCAGUUAAAAACAUCACAUACCCUACAUGAACAGGCAUGUUUUAUGAUUAUGUUUGUAGCUUUUAGUGCCACUCUUUUCACUGUAUUGUGUACCUACAAUUAAUGUUAGUCUUGUAUAUAAAAAUAUACAUAUAUAUAUAAUCAUUGUAUAAUGAAAUAUAGUUAUAGUAAUAGUCAUAGUGUUCCCUCUCAUGUAUGUAUCUGCAUCUAUGUCCUGUCGACAUCUGUCUGGCAUUACUGAUGAACUGGGUGUGUUUUUCUAUUAUUUGUUAGCUAACUGAACAAACUAUUGAUGUCCAUAAAUGGACAUUCGGUGCAACCCAGACGAGGAUGGGUUCCCUCUUGAGUCUGUUUCCUCUCAAGGUUUCUUCCUUAUGCCAUCUCGGGGAGUUUUUCCUUGCCAUAGUCGCCACCGGCUCACU